AUUGAACGCUGGCGGCAAGCCUAACACAUGCAAGUCGAACGAGUGGCGGACGGGAGAGAAAUGUCUGGGAAACUGCCUGAUGGAGGGGGAUAAUAACUGGAAACGUUAGCUAAUACCGCAUACCAUCGGAGGUGCACAGAUGGGAUUAGCUAGUAGUUGGGGAAAAGGCUCACCUAGGCGACGAUCCCGAGCUGGUCUGAGAGGAUGACCGGCCACACUGGAACUGAGACACGGUCCAGACUCCUACGGGAGGCAGCAUGGGGGAAUAUUGCACAAUGGGGGCAAGCCUGAGGCAGCCAUGCCGCGUGUAUGAUGAAGGCCUUCGGGUUGUAAAGUACUUUCAGCGGGGAGGCGUUACCCGCAGAAGAAGCACCGGCUAACUCCGUGCCAGCAGCCGCGGUAAUAC
rnacentral:rRNA from 1 species